CUAUGCGCCUUGCCAGCCCGCUCAGGUGGCCAGCCGCCGCGGUAAUACGGAGGAUGCGAGCGUUAUCCGGAUUUAUUGGGUUUAAAGGGUGCGUAGGCGGGAUGCCAAGUCAGCGGUAAAAAUGCGGUGCUCAACGCCGUCGAGCCGUUGAAACUGGCGUUCUUGAGUGGGCGAGAAGUAUGCGGAAUGCGUGGUGUAGCGGUGAAAUGCAUAGAUAUCACGCAGAACUCCGAUUGCGAAGGCAGCAUACCGGCGCCCUACUGACGCUGAGGCACGAAGGCGUGGGUAUCGAACAGG
rnacentral:rRNA from 1 species